GGGGGCGACAGGUCUCGACGGGUACGGAAGUGGCUUUUCAGGAGCAUGCCGAGGUUCCACCGGCCUCGUUAAAAAGGUGGGAAUAGAAAUAACUGCCGCAUAAAUUGCGACAGCUGCCCGCAUAAAGGGCAGCCGUUCCUCCGGUGUCGUGUUCUCGGACCCGGAAGGGGCGUUGAUCAGAGAACUGGCCGCCAACCCGUGUUUUCCGGGGGAAUCGGCGAGAUUAAUGAAAACUGGUCCAGGCGUGGUUGUCCGCACCUACCGCAAGGAUGAGAACUAAAAGCGGACUAAGCAUGUAGUGCCUGUUCAGUCCCCGUAAACGGACGCGGGUUCGAAUCCCGCCGCCUCCACCA
rnacentral:tmRNA from 1 species